UUUUUUCUGUGUGAGGCUCUAAUUCUUCUUUCCCAUCCCCUGUCACUGAGUGCUUGGUUGGUAUUGCAUUAUGUGAUGGUGAAUGUUCUAGUGCCAAGACUAAAACGGAUUUAACACGUGAUGAGGAGCAGCUUGAUAAAUGGGACCUGUGAGCGAAGAGACCAGAGAUAAAGCACAAGGCAGUCAGGAGAGAGAUGCGGUGUGCUGAGACCUGGGAUGAGCACAGGGGCAAAUACAUCCAUCAGAACACAAAUAGAACGUUGGAUCGGGGAGAGAGGACAUCAGGAGUUCUAAGCAAAAGCCAAUUUUAAAACAAAGCACAACAUCUCCAUCAGUAGCUCAAAGUGCUGGGGAUGCUUGUAAGAGGAUCUGGAGAAGAUCACGUCUCUCUAUCACAGACUUGCUCACUUGAUUAUCAGCCAACAAGAUCUGCAAAGGAAAUAGAUGAAUUGGAGACUGAUAGACUCCUAUUUGCACAGUAAUCCCUGUGGACAUCAUCUGCUGUCGCCACCAAGUGAGUUGUGAAGGUGAUAGUGAAUGUGGAGUCACACGGGCUGACUGCAUCCUAUCUGAUAGUAGCAAAGAACCAUGCUCCCAGCCUAGACAGCUUGUAACUUGGAAGCUCUGCUAAGGGCGCUGGCCUCCCUCACUGCCUGUUGGGGGCGGCAUUUCAGAACCACGGUCCUGUGGACAGCGACUCUGGGCAGCAGCGCUCACUCCAGUCUACGAUCUCAAGUUCACCAGAGACCAACCUGACUGCUGCAGAAACGUCUGUAGUGAAGUACACCCCGGAGAGGGAGCUCACACGGUGGCAUGUAAAAAAAAGGGGUAAGCUAUGAUCAUGCAGCUCGAGACAAA